UCGAGCGGAAGGCCCUUCGGGGUACUCGAGCGGCGAACGGGUGAGUAACACGUGAGCAACCUGCCCCAGGCUUUGGGAUAACCCCGGGAAACCGGGGCUAAUACCGGAUAUGACCUUGCACCGCAUGGUGUUUGGUGGAAAGUUUUUCGGCUUGGGAUGGGCUCGCGGCCUAUCAGCUUGUUGGUGGGGUGAUGGCCUACCAAGGCGACGACGGGUAGCCGGCCUGAGAGGGCGACCGGCCACACUGGGACUGAGACACGGCCCAGACUCCUACGGGAGGCAGCAGUGGGGAAUAUUGCACAAUGGGCGGAAGCCUGAUGCAGCGACGCCGCGUGAGGGAUGACGGCCUUCGGGUUGUAAACCUCUUUCAGCAGGGACGAAGCGUAAGUGACGGUACCUGCAGAAGAAGCGCCGGCCAACUACGUGCCAGCAGCCGCGGUAAGACGUAGGGCGCGAGCGUUGUCCGGAUUUAUUGGGCGUAAAGAGCUCGUAGGCGGCUUGUCGCGUCGACCGUGAAAACCUGGGGCUCAACCCCAGGCCUGCGGUCGAUACGGGCAGGCUAGAGUUCGGUAGGGGAGACUGGAAUUCCUGGUGUAGCGGUGAAAUGCGCAGAUAUCAGGAGGAACACCGGUGGCGAAG
rnacentral:rRNA from 1 species